rnacentral:rRNA from 1 species
AUGCGUGUUAAUGCAGCAGAUGGGCAGGGACAAAGAAUAGUUAGGUUAAUGAAGAAUCUGAACCAAUUUCGUGGCUUGGAGAUCGCUCAUGUUGGCAUGCUAACUAAGGAUGAUGCAGCAGAAUCAAAACUGAAGAAUAAGAAAGACCUUGACGAGUUGAAACUGAAAUUCGAAUCAGAUGGGUUACCAAUUUCGCCACGGUUUUUAGGCUAUCCCGAGUCUCAGUCCAUGCAGGACAAUGAGAUAGACAUGCUUCAUCAGUCUCAAAUCAUCCAGGACAAUGAGAUAGAUGUGCUUCAAUCUCUGCAACCUCCUAUCAGUCUCAAGUCUCUGUUCCUCCAGAAUUAUGCCGGUGUCUCGCUCCCAAGCUGGUUUUGGCCGCAAAACUUACCAAGCUUAGAAUCACUUACUUUUACAGACUGUGUUGGACUCAAGAGCAUAUCGUUGUGCAUGAUCUCACAGAUUAUAGGCUUAAAUGUGAUACCUGCAGUGCUAGUUCACAACAAUAAUGAUAGUGUUGGUAUGUUUCUAUCCCUGACAGAUCUAGCCAUUUAUGGCUGCCGAAAUUUAUCAAGCCUCGAACAUUUUCUACUACCAAAGUAUGUACCAGCCGUGAAGAAAAUAACAAUUGGAGGUUGCAAGAGGUUAGAAUAA